rnacentral:rRNA from 1 species
GACGAACGCUGGCGGCGUGCUUAACACAUGCAAGUCGAACGGAAAGGCCCUGCUUUUGUGGGGUGCUCGAGUGGCGAACGGGUGAGUAACACGUGAGUAACCUGCCCUUGACUUUGGGAUAACUUCAGGAAACUGGGGCUAAUACCGGAUAGGAGCUCCUGCUGCAUGGUGGGGGUUGGAAAGUUUCGGCGGUUGGGGAUGGACUCGCGGCUUAUCAGCUUGUUGGUGGGGUAGUGGCUUACCAAGGCUUUGACGGGUAGCCGGCCUGAGAGGGUGACCGGCGACAUUGGGACUGAGAUACGGCCCAGAAUCCUACGGGACGCAGCAGUGGGGAAUAUUGCACAAUGGGCGGAAGCCUGAGGCGGCGACGCCGCGUGCGGGAUGACGGCCUUCGGGUUGUAAACCGCUUUCGCCGGUGACGAAGCGUGAGUGACGGUAAUGGGUAAAGAAGCACCGGCUAACUACGUG